UUGCAUCAGCAACACAUAUACUAAAAUUGGAAUGAUACAGAGAAGAUGAUCACGUUGCCUGUGCAAGGAUGACAUACAAAUCCAUGAAGCAUCCCACAGAAGC